UACGGAGGGUGCGAGCGUUGUCCGGAAUCAUUGGGCGUAAAGGGCGCGUAGGCGGCUCGGCACGUCCGUUGUGAAAUCGCCCGGCUCAACUGGGCGGGGUCGGCGGAUACGGCCGAGCUGGAGCAAGCUAGGGGGUAAUGGAAUUCCCGGUGUAGUGGUGGAAUGCGUAGAUAUCGGGAGGAACACCAGUGGCGAAGGCGGUUACCUGGAGCUUUGCUGACGCUGAUGCGCGAAAGCGUGGGGAGCGAUCCGG
rnacentral:rRNA from 1 species